ensembl:lncRNA
GAGGAAUUGGAAGUUUGUCGGCUUAGACCUGGUGUCAUUCCAUCAGUGUUAAACUUCCCGGCUCAUCUUGGAAGAGUACGUGCCAGAAAGACCACGACCAAGCAGCCUUGAGAUCUUAGACAGCGUCUCCCUGAGACCAAAGAACUACAGACUCUUCACAACCUGCUCAAACUCUUGGUACAGGACCUCACCACAUGGGUCAAGAAGGUUGCUUUGUAGAACUGUUGCAGAAAACCUCACUAAACCACAUGGAGGGGCCUCAAGAUAGUCGUCCAAAUGAAACCAUACAAAAACCAAACGAGCACAACCCAAACGCUAAAGUCUCCUGCAGCCUACCAGAGAACCUCUGAGAACAGAGAAUCAGGACAGGAACUCUUACCUUCUGGACAACCAAUGUUGGUUCACAAACAAGAAUACAGAAUGUGUCUGAC